CACGUAGUUAGCCGUAGCUUAUUCUACAGGUACUGUCAUUAUCUUCCCUGUCUAAAGCAGUUUACAAUCCGAAAACCUUCUUCCUGCACGCGGCGUCACUGCGUCAGAGUUUCCUCCAUUGCGCAAUAUUCCCGACUGCUGCCUCCCGUAGGAGUCUGGGCCGUAUCUCAGUCCCAAUGUGGCCGUUCAACCUCUCAGUCCGGCUACUGAUCGUCGACUUGGUAGGCCGUUACCCCACCAACUAUCUAAUCAGACGCAAGCCCAUCUAUCAGCGGAUUGCUCCUUUCCCAUUUAUAUCAUGUGAUAUUCAUGGCAUAUGCGGUAUUAGCAGUCAUUUCUAACUGUUGUUCCCCUCUGAUAGGCAGGUUGCUUACGUGUUACUCACCAGUCCGCCACUAACCGCUCCAAUAGUAAACUAAUGGUUAAGUCCGUUCGACUUGCAUGUCUUAUGUGCGCCGCCAGCGUUUUAUCCUGAGCCAGGAUCAAA
rnacentral:rRNA from 1 species